rnacentral:sRNA from 1 species
CAACAAUUAUACCCAUUUUGUCCCCAAAGAGGCUAAAACCAACAAAAAAUUGCUUAGAAGUAGUAAAUAGCUUUGUUAGUGUUUCCAUGAUCAGAAAGUGUCACAAUCCAAUGCAUUUGACUAAUUAUAAGAGAUAAAGAUAGAUUAGGAGUGUUUAGACAACACUUAUACCCAUUUUGUUCUAAAAGAGGCUAAAACAAACAAAAAAUUGCUUAGAAGUAGUAAAUAGCUUUGUU